UGUUUAUCAAAAACAUCUCUUUUUGACAUAUAAAAAGUACCGCCUGCUCAAUGCUUUUAGUAAAUAGCCGCAGUAUUUUGACUGUGCUAAGGUAGCAUAAUCAUUAGUCUCUUAAUUGGAGGCUGGUAUGAAUGGUGAGACGAGAAAAUUUCUGUCUCUUUUAAAAAUAAUUGAAUUUCAUUUCUGAGUGAAAAAGCUAAGAUAAUUUUGAAGGACGAUCAGACCCUUUGGAGCUUUAUUUGUUUUUUAUAGUAAAUUAAUGUUUAAUGAUUGUUGUAAGAAAUAAAUUUUGUUGGGGCGACAGAGAGUUUUACAUAACACUCUUUUUAAUCAAACAAAAAUAAUUGAAUAGUUGAUCCCCAAAGAGGGAUUAAAAGACUAAGUUACCCUAGGGAUAACAGCGUAAUCUUUUUGGAGAGUUCUUAUCGAUAAAAAGGUUUGCGACCUCGAUGUUGGAUUAAGAAAUUAGCAAGGUGCAGAAGUUUUGCUGGAAAGUCUGUUCGACUUUUUAAUAUCUUACAUGAUCUGAGUUCAAACGGA
rnacentral:rRNA from 1 species